CCGAGAGUCUGCGACAGCAGCUGCCAGUGCGUCAUCAGAGGGCGCCGGAAGCGGUCCGAGAAUGAAGAGUGUGAUCUACCAUGCAUUGUCUCAGAAAGAGGCGAACGACUCUGAUGUCCAGCCUUCAGGAGCACAGCGGGCCGAGGCCUUCGUGAGGGCCUUCCUGAAGCGCAGCACGCCUCGCAUGAGCCCGCAGGCCCGCGAGGACCAGCUGCAGCGCAAGGCGGUGGUCCUGGAGUACUUCACCCACCACAAGCGCAAGGAGAAGAAGAAGAAAGCCAAAGGUCUCUCUGCCAGGCAAAGGAGGGAGCUGCGGCUCUUUGACAUUAAACCAGAGCAGCAGAGAUACAGCCUUUUCCUCCCUCUCCAUGAACUCUGGAAACAGUACAUCAGGGACCUGUGCAAUGGGCUCAAGCCAGACACGCAGCCACAGAUGAUUCAGGCCAAACUGUUAAAGGCAGAUCUUCACGGGGCUAUUAUUUCAGGGACCCCUGUUGGUACCCUAAAGGGCACAGUGGCUGCGAGCACUCACCCACGGCCUGGAAUCUUGAACACAGAAUCCCUUUCAUCCAAUGCUGUGGUUUCAAAUGUCAGCUACACCUGACAGCCCCCAAGGUGACAUCUCCAGUGUAGGUCUGUCCCCUGAACUCCAGGCUCAGGCAUCCAGCUGCCCACUUGACACAGCCACCUGGAUGUUCAGGGGGCAUCUCAGACUUUACACAGCCAAAGCUGCCCCCGAUUCUCCUCACAACAACCCCUCCUGGUCUUUUCCAUCUCAGUUAAUUACUCAGUUAUCUACACUGGCUGUUCAUGCCAAAAACCUAAACAGUGUCUAUGUUUCUUCUUUCCUAAUUUCCUCUAAUCCUUCGGAACAUCCUACUACCUAAAUUCAGCCACUGUCAUUCCCCAGAUUACCUCAGACACAGCUCCUCACCGCACCAGGCAGCCGGAGUGCUGGUUAUAUAGAAAUCAGAGCGCGUUCCUUCCCUGCUUCAAGUCUUCCGGCAGCGUCCCAUCGUAUGGGAGUAAACCUGCCUCCUGCUGUGGUCUAAGGCCUCCCCGCUCCCUGGGGCAGCAGGCCUUCCACACUGCCUUCCUCCUGCCCCGCCUCAGGGCUUCGCCUCUGCCCCUUACCACUGCCCGGGAGUUCUCCUGUGUGUGCACAGACCGGCUUCUCAUUGUUCAGCCCUGCUCCAAUGCCACUCCCCUGAGGGUCUACCAUUGCAAACCAUGACCCUCCACACAUUGCCCUGUCCCUACUCUUCAUAGCACUGGUUGCUGUCAGAAAGUAGAAUGGUGUGGUUCACCGUGCAUCACUCUGCCUUGCUAGAACCUGGGCUCCAUGAGAGUAGGAUCCAGGACUGCCUGUUUCCGUGCUGCGUCCCUGGCAUCUCCUGAGGAUGGUGCAGGCAUUCCGCAGCUGCUUGGUGACUCUGUCAGCUACGCUGAGGCUCGGGUCAGGACGACGGAAGGGCUGCUGCUUGUGAUGGUGGCUCAUCUCGCAGUGCUGGCUGCUGGGCAGCUCUGCAGCCAGACUCACGUUCCAGCCAGCAUCCUGGGUAGUGCAUGGUGGUGUUUGUGCAGAUCCUGCAACGGAGACCUGGCUGCAUCAGAGCAGCCAGACUGUGGGCCCUGAUGGUGCUCGGCACGUAUGUGACCUUUGAUUCCAGAAUCCUGCCCAAGACCCCUGUGGUCACAGACUCUCCGAAGGACACCUCAUAGGAACAGUCCAGAGGCUGCAAAGCCCCAGGGAAAGCCUGGGUUCUCGUCGGUUACGUCAGUGCCCACUGUUGAGCCCCCACCCCCUGGGUGCUCUCUUCUUUCGUCUGCUAGCUCAGAGGGUGGGACCAGCACCCCCAACCCCUGAGGCCUGCUUGUCUGUGUUUCCCCCAGCACCACAGAGGCCUGAGCCUGGAACUGUCCUUUUUCUUUGCAGUGACAAAAUCCAAAUGCCCCUCUUAUGUGGGUAUUACAGGAAUCCUUCUACAGGAAACAAAGCACAUUUUCAAAAUUAUCACCAAAGAAGACCGCCUGAAAGUUAUCCCCAAGCUAAACUGCGUGUUCACUGUGGAAAUCGAUGGCUUUAUUUCCUACAUUUACGGGAGCAAAUUCCAGCUUCGGUCAAGUGAACGGUCUGCGAAGAAGUUCAAAGCGAAGGGAACGAUUGACCUGUGAAUUCUUUGCUGUCUAAGGCAGUUGUUUAUGACAGCUGAAAACUGGACACUCCCUAAAUGUCCACCUUUCAGUGAAGAGAUGCUUAAGCCAAUUCCAUUUCUAGACCACCUCCAGCCAGUGGCGCUCCGAGUUGAGGAUGUUGAACAACAUGGCAGGGCCGCAGUGUACUAAGUGAAGAAGUCAGAGGACAGAGGAAUUUCUCUUUCUAGGAGAUCUUCAUUUUGUGUGACUCCCAUGGGGAGGAACAGACUGGCAGGAAGCACACUAGGGUUAACACUGGUUGACUUGAAUAGGAUUAUUCGAUUUUUAAAAAUACUUUUCCACGUUUUCUAAGUGCUCUAUGAUAAAUCAGUUGCAUCUGUGAUAAUACAAUACACAUGCGGACAUAAACAGGGAUCAAAUAAAGGAGGUAUUGCUGCAGUCCAGCCAGGUUGAAAGGGAAGGGGGUCCCCAAAGGUCCACUGGAUGGCAGGUGUCUACAGAGGUGCGCCUUUGGGUGGAACUCUGACCCACCUCAGGUUUACUUUGCUAUUUCAGGAAGGUUGAAGAGGAUUGAAGGGUGAGUUCCUAAGUGACUUAGGGCUUAUUCACUUCAGGAAUCGCAGCUGGGGUGGACCCCAGGAGCAGAGCACUGCGUGCAGCUGUGCCCAUGCAUGGUCGCCCCGGCGUAGUGAGAUGGGACCUGCCGCAGCAUGCCCACUCCUGAGCUGCCAGGCUGAGCCAUGGAGGACUGAAAGGAGGUCGCCCAGCAUCACCUCCCGAGGUGAGACCUGCUGCAAAAGCCAAGCCAGCAGCAUUGACACCCUUUAAUGUCUUCACCAUUUUUGCUGCUGAAAGACUUGGCUUUUCAGUCUGACCCUGGCCCUCUGUGACGAUGUAUCUGUAAAGCCAGUGGGUCAGGCCCUUCCAUGCAGGGCCAGAGGAAAAGCGGGCCCAGGGCUGCAGUGAGAGCGGGGCAGGGGACGAGCCUACUAGAUGGGUUGGAAACAUGGCUCAGAGGGACCAACUACCCCUUCCCUUUGAGGAGCAAGUCUCUGCCGAUCAGCAAGGCAAGGCCAGGAGCCCUCCUGGCAAAAGGCAAGCCACAAAUCUGUUCUGCAGGAGAAGCAGCAGUGCCGAGGCUUUGCGUUCCUGGUAACUUCCACCCAAACCACACCAGAGAGAAACACCAUGGUGGAGAAGGGAAGUGGGAACGCUGACUGCUGUGUGCCAGGAGAGUAGAAAGGCCCAGGUCUGUGCCACCGCCCCUCCCCAUGGCUCAUAGUGCACCCAGAGUCUCACAGGGACCAACCCGGUGCCUCGGUCCUGCUUCCAUCUGUGCAAGUGUCCUCCGCUUACCAGGGUGUUCUGAGGCAGCUCAAGUGCUCUCCCCCAAGCAGCACGCAGUCACCGCUGCCAGUGAUGCACACACGCACAGGCUAGGCACAUGGAGCCCAAGUACACUGCCAGCUUGGACACUGGGCCCGGCCCAGCAACUGCCUUGUGGUGUGGCUGUCCUCAUCUGCCACAGGAAGACAGACUUCGAGGGACCCCUUGCCUAAGGCCUCGCUGAUUCAAGGGUAGAAUUGAGAUUUGGACCUAAUAGGCUCCAGAACUGUGCUUUGAGCUAUAGGGUGGCUGCAGGGUGAGACGGAUGCAGUUCAAAGCGCAGGAUGUGCUGCCUUUAUUACCUGCUUUCCCGCUGAGCAAAUCCCUGUCUUGAGUGGGAAGUGGCAUCUAUUCCCCCAGCCAUCUGAAAGUGCUGUGUUCAUAACCGAAUAGGUGCUGUAGCUUCCUAGCCAUCCCACUCUUACCCACCCCUCUGCAGUGUAAAAGGCAUCCACUGUUGUGUAAAUACACAGUUGCUUUCCAGAAAA